rnacentral:rRNA from 1 species
AACGAACGCUGGCGGCAUGCCUAAUACAUGCAAGUCGAACGAGACCUCCGGGUCUAGUGGCGCACGGGUGCGUAACGCGUGGGAACCUGCCCUUAGGUUCGGACUAACUCCCCGACAGGGGUGCCAUCACGGGACAAGGGCUCCGACCCAAUGAUUUAUUGCCUUGGAAUGGUCCCGCGUUGAAUAAGCUAGUUGUUAGGCUAAAAGCCUACAAAGGGGACCAUCAAUAGCUGGUUUAGGAGGAAGAUCAGCAACUCUGGGACUGAGACGCGGCCCAGACUCCUACGGGAGGCGGCAGUGGGGAAUAUUGGACAAUGGGCGAAAGGCUGAUCCAGCAAGGCCGCGUGAGUGAUGAAGGCCUUAGAGUUGUAAAGCUCUUUUACCCGUGAUGAUAAUGACAGUACCGGGAGAAUAAGCUCCGGCUAACUCCGUG